UUAGUCUGGAACCCUGAAUGCUCAUCCUAUGUUCAAACCAGAGGAAAUCAGCCUGUCAAAAAGAUCUUGCCAACUCUUAUGGGGAUUUCAGGCAGAAACUCAUUUCCUGUCUGAACGUGGACAACAGCUGAGGCAAACAGAGUACUUUCCUAAAGGGAAGAGGGGAAGCCACUGUGCACACAUCCAGUGUUGAUUUUCCAUCUGGCACUUCAUGGAGGUCUGUGUGUACAUAAUUGAGACUCCACAGACCUACUAGGCCCCGAGGGAAAGGGAUUACCUCCAUACAGUCCUCAAGCUGAACUGAGUGAAGAGCUUCAUUGUCCACAACUGAGGAAAUGUCCAGAUUAACACAGGUAAACGGCAAUUCCUUUUUUUGUUCCAAAGAGGGCUGUUGUGUCUCCCGAACACCUUCCCCUUCCCCUCUGCCAUGGUGGAUGUGACAAGAUCAGCUGGCUUCCAGAAGGCAAAAUAUUCAGUAAUGUUCAAAGGGAAAAGAUCAUCUCCAAGUUUCUUAAAGAAAGCGUUCUAAAGAGAGUGUUCCGUUCAAAGCAAAUGAGGUGGGAGGGCUCCAGCUACCAGAAUGAGGACCUAAGCGACAACUUUCCUGGCACCAUUUCUGGUGCCUGCUCCGGAAACUUAAACAUUCAAAGUACAUUUGGGAUACAAGGCUAAGAGCAUAGGCAUCUGAAGGACAGGAAGCCAUAAAGCUAUGCAAACUGCAGAAAUCUAGUCUUGCAGGAAAAUCUAAAUAUAGGUAGACAUAUAUGACUGAGAAUUUAUUCAACAGUAUGGGCUGCAACAUAUACAGGUGUAGAAUUUGUGAAGGUACCUGCUUAGCUUUUGGAAAUAUAUCCCUAUGGAUCACUAUCACAUUUGUUCUAAGAAUAAAUAGGUCUUAAACAAGA